CGUGGUGGCCCGCGCGGCCACCCCGGACGAGUCGUGGGCGUACCCGGUCAGGCCAAGACGCCCCGUA
rnacentral:ncRNA from 1 species